UGAAAAUGCUUACAGUUGUAUACACUUUUCUCUUCUCUUUGAGCAUAGAAACUGUGCUGGGACUGACCAUAAAGCAAAGCGAACUCUCCUGGACAAAGACAGAAGGAAAAAGUAUUUAUAUUAAGUGUGAAGUGGAGGGACUGAGUGGCAGCAGUUAUCUCCACUGGUACCAACAGAAAGACGGCGAAGCUCUCAAAAGGAUUCUGUAUUUCAGUAAAAAUGGUGGCACUGUUACUGAUGGUAACCAUCCUGAAAAAGAUGACUUCACUGUGACAAAAGACUAUGAUCUGAAAAUAAAUUCACUGAAGAAAAGUCAUUCUGCAGUUUAUUACUGCGCCAGCUGGAGUGGUGUGAAAGUCUUUGGAUCAGGCACAAGACUUUAUGUGGAAGCUGAUGCACCACGGGAACCUGCAGCUGUCAGCGUACUCAGUCCUCAAACCAAACAAUGGAAAGAGCGUACUGGCGUGUCAGGCCAGAGGCAUGUUUCCAAACCUGGUGAGGUUCACAUGGAAGAAUGAAAGUAACACAGAGGUGACGCUGUCAGAGACAUAUGACCUGCUGGAGCAGAAAGAUGAGGGUGAGGAGGCCAGAGUGACCAGCAUGCUCAUCAUAGACCAACAGAAAGCAAGUUCUAAAAC